UACGGGGGGGGCAAGCGUUGUCCGGAAUCACUGGGCGUAAAGGGCGCGUAGGUGGUCUGAUAAGGGUGUGGUGAAAGUCCGGGGCUCAACCCCGGAUCUGCCGUGCCGACUGUCAGACUCGAGGACUGUAGAGGCAGGCGGAAUUCCGUGGUGUAGCGGUGGAAAUGCGCGAUAUCAGGAGGAACGACCGGUGGCGAAGGCGGGACUGCUGGGUCCCUACCGACGCGUGGGGUGCGAAAAGGCAUGGGGAGGCGAACGAGG
rnacentral:rRNA from 1 species